UACGUAGGGGGCGAGCGUUGUCCGGAGUUACUGGGCGUAAAGCGCACGCAGGCGGUCGCGUAAGAGUGCGGGGACAGUGGGCGGCUUAACUGCCCAAGGGUCGCACAGACUGCGUGACUGGAGGGCCAGAGAGGGACCUGGAAUUCCUGGUGUAGCGGUGAAAUGCGCAGAUAUCAGGAGGAACACCAAUGGCGAAGGCAGCACUCUGGGACGUGACUGACGCUGAGACGCGAAAGCGUGGGGAGCAAACAGG
rnacentral:rRNA from 1 species